GACGAACGCUGGCGGCGUGCUUAACACAUGCAAGUCGAGCGGUAAGGCCCUUUCGGGGGUACACGAGCGGCGAACGGGUGAGUAACACGUGGGUGACCUGCCCUUAGCUCUGGGAUAAGCCUGGGAAACUGGGUCUAAUACCGGAUAUGACUCCAUGACGCAUGUUGUGGGGUGGAAAGCCUUGUGCGGCUAGGGAUGGGCCUGCGGCCUAUCAGCUUGUUGGUGGGGUGAUGGCCUACCAAGGCGUCGACGGGUAGCCGGCCUGAGAGGGCGACCGGCCACACUGGGACUGAGACACGGCCCAGACUCCUACGGGAGGCAGCAGUGGGGAAUCUUGCGCAAUGGGCGAAAGCCUGACGCAGCGACGCCGCGUGGGGAUGACGGCCUCGG
rnacentral:rRNA from 1 species